GAAUAGUGCCGUAUACGUGAAUAGUAACUCCGACACUAAAAAAUAGAAAUUUCACAAAAAUAUCAUCAUGCUUCGUGAAUAGUACUCGUGAAUAGUAACUCGUGAAUAGUAACUCAUGAAUAGUAACCCUGACAUGAAAAAGUUCCAAAUUUGAUAAAAAGUUCAAACCAAUAUUUCGGCAUAAUGAUAUUGAAGAAAUAAUAUCAUUUACGAAGAAAAUAA
rnacentral:lncRNA from 1 species